CCCCCCCCCCCCCUUUUUUUUUUAAUACAAACACGAAUACAAAAGCUGCAGGCUCCAAAGAGCAGAUGAAAGCAAUGAACGGAGUUUCUGGAAAAGAUUCAUUAGUGGGAAUUAAUGCUGAGAGGAGCUCCGAGGCGAUACCAUUAAAGCCAGUGCCCGCACUUUGUCAGUUUUACACCGCUCGCUACGGCCGGGGCUUUUUUUUUUUUUUUUUUCAGUCGGGGGCGAGGGGGAGGUGCUCCCCGCCCCCCCUCUCCCCUCCUCGAUCAGUGAACCCGGGAUCCGACAGACAUCGCGGAAACGAGAGAGGGAGGGAAGCGAAGAGAAAAAAAAAAAAAACACACACACACACACCAAGAAAGAAAGAGGAACGUGAACGCUCCGCAGCCCUCGCCCCCGGACUCGCUCCGCGAACAUCAAAUGCGUGCCUCAUAUGCUGCGCAGAGCCGCCCCGCUUGGCCCCGGCUUCACAAAGCAGCCUCCGCUGCUGCCUCCCCGCCCGGCCGGCCCCCUCCGACCGGCCCUUUGAUGGCGAGCCCCGAGCCUCCCUCCGGCUCGCUCCCCAAGUCCCAGCUCCGUUUUUAAGGCGCCCGAAACUUCCGUGUCACGCCAGACCUCACGCCAGGACGGCUCGGCGCACGGGAAAGCCCCGGGCCGCCCUGCCCCACGUGCGCCGCGCCGCCCGCCCCGCCGGGAGGAGGAGGAGGAGGAGGAGGAGGAAGGGGGCAGCGGAGCCCCGGGCUCCCCCGGCGCGGGCACGGAGCCGCUGCGGGCUCCCCGUGCCCUCACCUGGCCGCCCCGGGGCGCGCAGCCUCGCGGUGCCGAGCGCGGACCCCCCUCCUCCCGUCCCGGCGCCCCGCUCCUCGCCCCGGCCGCUGCCUCAGCGCCUUCCCCAGCACCGUCCCCCCCCUCCUCGCACCCCCCCGCGGGUUCUCCGGAGCGGACACCGCCACCCGCGGCUCCCCGAGCAGGCAUCUCCGCCAGCAACUGCCUCCAAACUUCCCCUCCGCCACCGCAGCCCCGGAGGCGCACCGCGAGAGGCGGCGUGUGCCCGCGGCCCCCCCCAGCCCGUCCCCCCGCCCCGAGCCGCAACUUUGGACCGCGUCCCCGUCGAAAGGGGAGGGGGGGACACCGAGGGGAGCCCCGUCGAGCCCCCCCGAGGGCUGCGGGGCGCGGAGCGGAGCACUGACCUUCCUGCCGCGCCGUGGGUCCCGCCGCCGCCGUCGCCUCGCCUCGCCCCGCUGCUCUCCCCGGAAGGGCAGCCCCGUCGGGGGGCGGGCGUGGGGGUGCGAGGGGGGGUUGGAGAAAAGUUUCCUGACCCCCCUCCCCCUGCUCCGCCGUCGCCUCGCCUCUCCAGGACGCGCUCCGGGAGGGGAGCGGGGGGGCUCGCCCGGGCUUUGUUAAGGGUCUGGGGGGAUGCUUUUGGGGAGCUGAAGGGAAAAGACCUUCUUUUCAGCUCGGGAAUCGCGGUGCUUCGCAGUCACUUCACGGUUUAUUACUACAGGAGGAAUCUGUUUAUAGUCAAACAGCGUUACAUUGGGCCGUAUCGAUUUUCGAGCAGCGCUCCCCACCGCUUUAAUUGUUUUUAG
ensembl:lncRNA